AUUGUAAAGGUCAACAGAACAGUGGUAUCCUGAUGGAGUUAGGGACAGGGCUGAAUGUGUAAAGGUCAACAGAACAGUGGUCUCCUGAUGGAGUUGGGGACAGGGCUGAAUGUGUAAAGGUCAACAGAACAGUGGUCUCCUGAUGGAGUUGGGGACAGGACUGAAUGUGUAAAGGUCAACAGAACAGUGGUCUCCUGAUGGAGUUGGGGACAGGGCAUGAACUCAUUGUAAAGGUCAACAGAACAGUGGUCUCCUGAUGGAGUUGGGAACAGGGCUGAAUGUGUAAAGGUCAACAGAACAGUGGUAUCCUGAUGGAGUUGGGGACAGGGCUGAAUGUGUAAAGGUCAACAGAACAGUGGUCUCCUGAAUGAGUUGGGGACAGGGCUGAAUGUGUAAAGGUCAACAGAACAGUGGUCUCCUGAUGGAGUUGGGGACAGGGCAUGAACUCAUUGUAAAGGUCAACAGAGCAGUGGUCUCCUGAUGGAGUUGGGGACAGGGCUGAAUGUGUAAAGGUCAACAGAACAGUGGUCUCCUGAUGGAGUUGGGAACAGGGCUGACUGUGUAAAGGUCAACAGAACAGUGGUCUCCUGAUGGAGUUGGGGACAGGGCUGAAUGUGUAAAGGUCAACAGAACAGUCGUCUCCUGAUGGAGUUGGGGACAGGGCAGAAUGUGUAAAGGUCAACAGAACAGUGGUCUCCUGAUGGAGUUGGGGACAGGGCAUGAACUCAUUGUAAAGGUCAACAGAAC
ensembl:lncRNA